CCCCUGCUGGAGCUUCUUCUGGCUUAAUCCCCACACUUCUACCGGCCUCCCCUUAUGGGCUCCCCUCUAUCCGACCUCUCCCUGUCCAAGCAAAGAAAAGUGUCCGGCCCGAGAAGAGGAUUGCGGCUGAGAAAGCGGGAGGCCACAACUGCAGGGAAACCCUUUGAGGCGCGGUUGCGGUGGGCGACGUGUCCUCAGCUCCGCGGCGUCCGGCGCGUCUUCGCUCCGCGGCGGACGGCGCGAUUAUUUCUGCACGUGGAGCGGCAGUUUCAGUGGUGGCCGGUGUGUCCUGACUCCACGGCAAGAGGCAGCGGCGGAUGGUACUAGGUCGGCGAGGAGGUGUGGCGCGGGGUUGAUGGCCUCGGCAGAGUGGACGAGAUGACCCUGUGCUCACCGGUGACGCAGAUGGUGGGAAGAUCCAUAGUAGUGGCAGCGGUGCUUCGACGCAUCAACCGAGAGAGAGGAGGGAUGGCCGCUGCUGCUAACUGUUUGGCUGCCUGCACCUACUGCCUCUGGCUUUGGAUGCUUGGGGUUGGUGGGAUUGGGGCUUGAGCAUCCUACUAGAUCGGUGGCCGCUCGCCAGAUCGAGUUCCUCCGGCAGUCUGGCUGCUACCUCCGCCGCUCAGUCACCGGCGGCAGGUCGGCCCUACACUGAAUCGGGAACAAGUCAACUGCUCUCAUCUCGACUGGGCAGGUGUAGCCCUUUUCUAUCCCCAUGAAGGUUUGUCAUGCCCUAUUUGUUUUUCUCCCUUCCCAUCUAGAUCCUCCUAGCUAGACCAGUUCUGAUUUGGGAGGGGGAGGAAUGGGAGCAAGCGAGUAGGGAGAGGGAGGACGGCUCUGGCAGUACGACUCAUCUCCCGGCGAAGUUUUCGUUGGGAGAACCACGUCCCCUACAUCCUUCUCUGAUUCUGCAUUUGACUCUCAGGCAACGCCAACCUACAACAUCAAGAUGUUGAGGUGCGACCUGGAUUUCAUGGUACGAGAUACUUGCGCCGGCGGCAACAAUGGCUACCAUAGGUGCACUAGGUUUCUGUUGUUGUCCGUGCCGUGCUGCAGGUUUUUUUUCUCUUGAGGAUUCGGGCUUCAGUUCCAUGUGUGGUGGAGCCACGGGGCUGGUUGAGGCGAUCUUCAGAUACCUCCAUUUUUUGCUGCCUCCGAUGAUGUGGUGCUCCUAUUCUUGAUAAAAAAAAUCCCUUGCCGAAGUGAAGCAGUGCAAGACAAUGACAGGCUGCACCAGGAGGGAUUGCACCACAGGGCAAUGGUUCAACAACAGGCGGCAGGGAAUGCCAACUGCUAAGAUAUGCACAGAUGAGUAUUGAUUACUUUGACUCUUAUGACCUCGGCAAUGCAUAAGAAUGGCGAGAAAUAAAUACUUAUUUGCAAGUCCUCCCAUCCCCAGAUAUAACUGGAUCCCUUUACACAGACGAUGCAAUUACUAAGGUCCAUAAAUGGAAUGAAGGAUUAGCAUCGUUUAUGCGCCAAAAUAUAGAUGGCAUGAGUUGCCAUCAAUUAGUGCUUGCCAAAAAAAAUUGAGCAAUGAGAACCUUUCUGGUUUGGUUUCUUCGCAUGCUGUGUAUUGGAAUUAAAUUCUUACAUGUUUGCCAUUUUCUGGCCUGCUGAUGAAGCUUUUCGAACUCUCAGGUCUAUGUUUGGUUAAUUUGCUCAGAAACGGUUUGGUUCUCCAAGAUGGUUGUUGGUUUCCCGACUCUAUGCUGUAUAUCUGCAACUUUUUUUGUUAUCAAAACGAAAACUACCUUGGCUUUUGAUGUACUCCCUCUAAUCGCAUUUAAUCGACUCUAGAUGUACCUAAAAAUACACUGUUUUGGUUGUACUCCCGGGAGUACAUAAUUAAUCACCUAAUCUGUAUGAUCUUCCAUGGACUUUCCGGAGGCUUUUUAUUAUGUAG